rnacentral:rRNA from 1 species
UACCAGCUCUCCGAGUGGUAGGGAUGAUUAUUGGGCUUAAAGCGUCCGUAGCCGGCUUAGCAAGUCUCCUGUUAAAUUCAGCGACCUAAUCGUUGAGCCGCGGGAGAUACUACUAGGCUAGGAGGCGGGAGAGGUCAACGGUACUUCCGGGGUAGGGGUGAAAUCCUAUAAUCCCGGGAGGACCACCAGUGGCGAAGGCUGUUGACUAGAACGCGCUCGACGGUGAGGGACGAAAGCUGGGGGAGCGAACCGGAUUAGAUACCCGGGUAGUCCCAGCUGUAAACGAUGCGAGCUAGGUGUUGGGGUGGCUACGUGCCACUUCAGUGCCGCAGGGAAGCCAUUAAGCCCGCCGCCUGGGGAGUACGGCCGCAAGGCUGAAACUUAAAGGAAUUGGCGGGGGAGCACCACAAGGCGUGAAGCUUGCGGUUC